GGUCCCACUCAAGAAAUGAUUAGUGUAAGUUAUUACUACCAGGACGAAUAAUGAACUCAUCUUUCUAGCACCAUCGAAGCAGACGUUAUUGUUUCACACGCAUAUACCGUACAAAUUUAAACAUUUUAUAUUCGACCUGCUAACAUUGGAAAAUACCAAGAGUGAUUCUUAAACAUUCACAUUGCAAGGAAGGCUAAGGGGGCAACCAUUCAGGUAUGAAAUGUUAGGUUUCAUGUUUAAAAUUACCUUCCACAAUACAUUAAUAGCAUUAAAAGAUGUCAAUUAAAAAAAUGAAAAGAAAGCAUUUUCUGAGGCAGAAUAAGAAAAAAAAGGACUGAACGGGGAGUUUGUUUUGAAAAAAAAAAUACAAGUACUUUUAAGAAACCAGCACCACCUGUCGGGCUAAAUAUAGAAUUACACGAGGAAAGAUUGUCCUUUUCUGACUACUUCUUUCCCAUUCGGCUCCAUUUCAGCACGAUGACGUGUCAAACGGUGACGUCAUAACAGAGGCUACACUACAUAAAGCCUUGAUGUUAGAGUGGUUCAAAUAACAGUAAUGUGUCCAAAUGUUUCAGGCUUUACACUGCAGCGUUUCAUUAAAAGUUUGGGGAAAAAUUCAGCCCCCAACCCCCGUUUCACUUCGCAACAUUAGGUCGGCAUGUCUACCAUGAGUAUACCCACAAAAAUGUCUCAAGAACCCA